rnacentral:misc_RNA from 1 species
GAUGAAGAACGUAGCGAAAUGCGAUAAGUAGUGUGAAUUGCAGAAUUCAGUGAAUCAUCGAAUCUUUGAACGCACAUUGCGCCCUUUGGUAUUCCAAAGGGCAUGCCUGUUCGAGCGUCAUUUGUACCCUCAAGCUUUGCUUGGUGUUGGGCGUCUUGUCUCUGGCUUUGCUGGAGACUCGCCUUAAAGUAAUUGGCAGCCGGCCUACUGGUUUCGGAGCGCAGCACAAGUCGCACUCUCUAUCAGCAAAGGUCUAGCAUCCAUUAAGCCUUUUUUUCAACUUUUGACCUCGGAUCAGGUAGGGAUACCCGCUGAACUUAAGCAUAUCAAUAAGCGGAGGA